rnacentral:misc_RNA from 1 species
UGGAAGUAAAAGUCGUAACAAGGUUUCCGUAGGUGAACCUGCGGAAGGAUCAUUAAUGAUUAACUGUCUGUCGAGCUUGCUCACAGACUUAUCAUAUCCAUAACACCUGUGCACUUGUCGGAUGGCUUAGUGAAGACCGCAAGGUUGGAACUAUCCAUCUACUUUACAUAACAAUUUAGUAACAAAUGUAGUCUUAUUAUAACAUAAUAAAACUUUCAACAACGGAUCUCUUGGCUCUCGCAUCGAUGAAGAACGCAGCGAAAUGCGAUAAGUAAUGUGAAUUGCAGAAUUCAGUGAAUCAUCGAAUCUUUGAACGCACCUUGCGCUCCCUGGUAUUCCGGGGAGCAUGCCUGUUUGAGUGUCAUGAAAACCCUCAACCUUAGAUUGGUUAACACCUUUCUUUGGCUUGGAUUUGGACGUUUGCCGAUGAUAAGUCGGCUCGUCUUAAAAGUAAUAGCUGGAUCUGUCUCGCGACAUGGUUUGACUUGGCGUAAUAAGUAUUUCGCUAAGGACAUCUUCGGAUGGCCGCGUUGCAAGACUAAAGACCGCUUUCUAAUCCAUUGAUCUUCGGAUUAAUAUUCUUGACAUCUGGCCUCAAAUCAGGUAGGACUACCCGCUGAACUUAAGCAUAUCAAUAAGCGGAGGAAAAGAAACUAACAAGGAUUCCCCUAGUAACGGCGAGUGA